GGGCCACCAAAAUUGGCGUUUCAGGUCAUUGUACAUUUUAGUACUACCUGGGUGGACUGACAUUCGACUACUAUGAGCCUCGUUCAAAAUCAUCGAAAUAAGUUUCGAAUUUCUUGGAACACAUAAUCGACCUCUGAACAUCAAGCAAUCAUUGUCGUCAAUCCGGAACUCCGAUUCCUUAUUCGAAGCACAUUCAGCUCGUUUAGUGACCAAUUCAGCAUCGACUUUCUGGGAUUCAAGUAUUUGACGAAUCAAUAAUGGUUUGGC
rnacentral:lncRNA from 1 species